rnacentral:rRNA from 1 species
AUUGAACGCUGGCGGCAGGCCUAACACAUGCAAGUCGAGAGAGCGGCGGACGGGUGAGUAAUGUAUGGGGACUGCCCGAUAGAGGGGGGUAACAACUGGAAACGGUGGCGAAUACCGCAUACUAUCGGAUCACCCAUAGGGGAUUAGCUAGUAGGUGAGUGAAAGGCUCCCCAAGGCGACGAUCCCUAGCUGGUCUGCGAGGAUGAUCAGCCACACUGGGACUGAGACACGGCCCAGAAUCCUACGGAGGCAGCAGUGGGGAAUAUGGCACAAUGGGCGCAAGCCUGAUGCAGCCAUGCCGCGUGUAUGAAGAAGGCCCUAGGGUUGUAAAGUACUUUCAGUCGGGAGGCGUUACCGACAGAAGAAGCACCGGCUAACUCCGUGCCAGCAGCCGCGGUAAUAC